rnacentral:rRNA from 1 species
CGCAUUUAUUAGAACAAAACCACGCGGCUUCGGCUGCUUCUUGUUGACUCAGAAUAACUUAGCUGACCGCAUGGCCUUGUGCCGGCGGCGUGUCUUUCAAGCGUCCACUUUAUCAACUUGACGGGAGCAUAAUCGACUCCCGUGGUGGUGACGGAUAACGGAGGAUCAGGGUUCGACUCCGGAGAAGGGGCCUGAGAAAUGGCCACUACGUCUAAGGAUGGCAGCAGGCGCGCAAAUUACCCACUCUCGGCUCGAGGAGGUAGUGACGAGAAAUAACGAGACUGUUCUCUUUGAGGCCGGUCAUCGGAAUGGGUACAAUUUAAACCCUUUAACGAGUAUCAAGCAGAGGGCAAGUCUGGUGCCAGCAGCCGCGGUAAUUCCAGCUCUGCAAAUACAUAGAAUUAUUGCUGCGGUUAGAAAGCUCAUAGUUGGAUUCGUAUCGAUACCUUGGAACCCUUCGGGUGUCUCUAGGUGUUAUCGAUUUAUCGUAAUGUUCGGUUUUGAGUCCUUAACAGGAUUCUUAACAGGCAUUGCAAGUUUACUUUGAACAAAUCAGAGUGCUUCAAACAGGCGUUUUCGCUUGAAUGAUCGUGCAUGGAAUAAUAGAAAAUGAUUUCGGUUCAGUUUUAUUGGUUUUACGGACUGAGAUAAUGGUUAACAGAGACAAACGGGGGCAUUUGUAUGGUCCCGUGAGAGGUGAAAUUCUUGGACCGUGGCCAGACAAACUACAGCGAAAGCAUUUGCCAAGAAUGUUUUUAUUAAUCAAGAACGAAAGUCAGAGGUUCGAAGGCGAUCAGAUACCGCCCUAGUUCUGACCGUAAACGAUGCCAACUAGCGAUCCGCCGAUGGAAAUUAUAUUGCCUUGGUGGGGAGCUUCCCGGAAACGAAAGUCUUCCGGUUCCGGGGGAAGUAUGGUUGCAAAGCUGAAACUUAAAGGAAUUGACGGAAGGGCACCACCAGGAGUGGAGCCUGCGGCUUAAUUUGACUCAACACGGGGAAACUCACCCGGCCCGGACACUGUGAGGAUUGACAGAUUGAUAGCUUUUUCAUGAUUCAGUGGAUGGUGGUGCAUGGCCGUUCUUAGUUCGUGGAGUGAUUUGUCUGGUUUAUUCCGAUAACGAGCGAGACUCUAACCUACUAAAUAGUUGGUACAUACUCUUAGUGUAUACAGCUUCUUAGAGGGAUUUGCGGCGUUCAGCCGAAAGAAAUUGAGCAAUAACAGGUCUGUGAUGCCCUUAGAUGUCCGGGGCUGCACGCGCGCUACACUGGCAAAAUCAACGUGCUUGUCCUACCCUGAAAGGGGCGGGUAAACCAUUGAAAAUUUGCCGUGAUUGGGAUCGGAAAUUGCAAUUAUUUUCCGUGAACGAGGAAUUCCAAGUAAGUGCGAGUCAUCAGCUCGCGUUGAUUACGUCCCUGCCCUUUGUACACACCGCCCGUCGCUGCCCGGGACUGAGCCAUUUCGAGAAAUUUGGGGACCGUUGAUUUAAUUUUUCUAAAUUACU